rnacentral:rRNA from 1 species
GCUGGCGGCACGCCUAACACAUGCAAGUCGAACGAAGUAGCAAUACUUAGUGGCGAACGGGUGAGUAUAAUGUGGGUAUCUGCCUUUUGGUUUGGAAUAACACGGGGAAACUUGUGCUAAUACCGUAUAAGCCUUUACAGGGAAAGCUUUAGCGCCAAAAGAUGAGCCCGCACUUGAUUAGCUAGUUGGUAAGGUAAUGGCUUACCAAGGCUACGAUCAAUAGCUGAUCUGAGAGGAUGAUCAGCCACAUUGGGACUGAGACACGGCCCAAACUCCUACGGGAGGCAGCAGUGGGGAAUCUUGCACAAUGGGGGAAACCCUGAUGCAGCGAUGCCGCGUGAGUGAAGAAGGCCCUUGGGUUGUAAAGCUCUUUCGUCGGGGAAGAAAAUGACUGUACCCGAAUAAGAAGGUCCGGCUAACUUCGUGCCAGCAGCCGCGGUAAUACGAAGGGACCUAGCGUAGUUCGGAAUUACUGGGCUUAAAGAGCACGUAGGUGGUUAGAAAAGUUGGUGGUGAAAUCCCAAGGCUUAACCUUGGAACUGCCAUCAAAACUUUUUAACUAGAGUAUGAUAGAGGUAAGUGGAAUUUCUAGUGUAGAGGUGAAAUUCGUAGAUAUUAGAAAGAACACCAAUUGCGAAGGCAACUUUCUGGAUCAUUACUGACACUGAGGUGCGAAAGCAUGGGUAGCGAAGAGGAUUAGAUACCCUCGUAGUCCAUGCUGUAAACGAUGUGUGCUAGACGUUGGAAAUUUAUUUUUCAGUGUCGCAGCAAAAGCGUUAAGCACACCGCCUGGGGAGUAC